AUCAGAACUUCGAUAACACUACUGGUUAGGAUAGAAAUGAGCUCCUCUGUGACUCAAACAUGACAGCCUUCUUUAAUUGCAGCACUGCCAAAAAGUUAUUUGAGAACAGACUAAAAUAAUAUAAACACACUAAAUGAAUCUAACUAAAAAAGAAACAAAGAUUCCUAAGAGGAUACAUCAUAAUCAUUUUGUAACUAUGAAUUUCUAAAAGAUCUUAUCUUCACAGGCAGCAUGUUUUAGAACAUAAUGCCCUAAACCAAGGAUGAAGAAACCAUAAUUUUAUUUUUCUGUUUUGUCACCAAUAACAUUUGCAUGGAAGUAAUUUGACUUUGUGUAUUAUUUAUUUUCCUAUCUUAUAAGAAGGAAAUAUAAAUAGCUUUUCCUUACCUGUAUCCUUGAAAUGAUUUGACAUCAAUGGUUAUACUUUGAAAGCUUUGGGAUUCUAUGAGAAAAGUGCUGUGUAAAUGCUAAUUUUUUAGAUAUUGUUCUCUGUCACUUAAUGAUAUCACUGUCUUCUUCCUGAUCAUUGUCAAGAAAAGAAGUACAGGAGGGCCAUACUGAAAUUGGUCCUUACUUAUACCACUGGGAGUUUUAG
rnacentral:lncRNA from 1 species